UUAGGGCUCUCCUGGUCUGCAUGAAAACAGUGGCCGCACUUGCCCUAAAAAUGGGGGCCAAGUCUGCGAACUUGACCCAGGAGCCCCUGCCUCUUAUCCCCAACCGUCCAACAAAGGGAAAGGGUUGGCUGGGUUCUUUCCAGGACUUUGUUCUACCCUGGGUUCCUUCCAGGUUGUUUCUUCUAUCCAGAGGGGACAGAAGGAUGGGGAGGAGGAGAAGACCACAAACCCCUUUGGUCCAGGAUCCUGGAUUCUUUGAAAAAGAAAACAGCGAGCACACCGAUACCGUCUCCGCGGGCCUCUGUGAGCAGCCCCUGCCGUCUCCCUGCGGCUGGGAAGGGCGCGCCGGGGCUGGAGGCUGCCCGCGCCAGUGUUUCCUCGGCCCCGGAUGCGGCGGGACGAGGCAUUUACAAGCUCAAGUUUCCAGAUCCUGAGACGACCGAGGGCUCCGCGAGGCUCACCCGCCGAGGGAGGGCGCGUUUAGAAUACGCAGGAGAUGGCCUCGGGUGGCCCUCUAGAAUGUUCUCUCAUAAUUCAUCUGCUUUCGCUCCUACUCUUUUGCUAUUUAUGUAUUUGUUUUUCCUGGUCAUUAAGAAAUCUUUAGGGGAUUUUAUUGCCUAACAACAAGGUAAGGAAACAUGAAUUAUGAUGAAAAUGAAAUGGUUCCAUUACGUUGAUCCUGAUUAAAAUAUUGGAGUAAUUUU